rnacentral:rRNA from 1 species
CCUACGGGGCAGCAGUGGGGAAUAUUGGACAAUGGGCGAAAGCCUGAUCCAGCCAUGCCGCGUGAGUGAUGAAGGCCCUAGGGUUGUAAAGCUCUUUCGGCGGGGAAGCGGUACCCGCAGAAGAAGCCCCGGCUAACUUCGUGCCAGCAGCCGCGGUAAUACGAAGGGGGCUAGCGUUGUUCGGAAUCACUGGGCGUAAAGCGUAUGUAGGCGGAUUGUUAAGUCAGGGGUGAAAGCCCGAGGCUCAACCUCGGAAUUGCCUUUGAUACUGGCUGUCUUGAGUCCGGGAGAGGUGAGUGGAACUCCUAGUGUAGAGGUGAAAUUCGUAGAUAUUAGGAAGAACACCAGUGGCGAAGGCGGCUCACUGGCCCGGACUGACGCUGAAAUACGAAAGCGUGGGGAGCAAACAGGAUUAGAUACCCUUGUAGUC